AAUCAAUAUUUUAUCACUUAAUUGGAAUAUGGAAAUGUUACCACUAAGAUUUCUCUCCUUUAUGCUUCAGCUGUGUUUUGUAUUACCUCUACGUACACGAAAACUCCCAUCAGAGAAUGGUCUAUUUUGUACUUUCAACAAACCCGAACACAUUUUACAAACUUCAAGAGGAGAAAAACAAAGUAUUAUAUACACCUAGAUAUUUUCCCUUUGUUUCUCUUUCUUCACUCCUGAUGUUCCAAAUUUCCUCCUGGUAUCAUUUCCCUUGGAUCUGAAGAACUUCCGUUAGCAAUCUUCUGAAGCAGGGCUACUGCCAAGAACUACUUUCAGUUUCCUUUCAUCUGAGAAUGUGUCUAAUUCCCCUUAAGUGCUGAAGGACAUUUCACCGAUACAAGAUUCCAAGUUGAUGCUUCAUUUCUGAUGCCACUUCCUUCCGAUGCAGAGUUGCUUUGUCUGAGCUGAACUGCAGGUGUGAGGCCUGGUUGCUUCACUGUCUUCUCAGGCUCCCAAGAGAUUAUUGAUGACCACAGUUUGGAAACCUCUCAACCUUGAUCAUUCCUUGAUGUCUUCUAGAGUAUGAGUGGGAGAGAAGCAGAGAGAGAGGGAGACACAGAAUCUGAAGCAGGCUCCAGACUGAGCUGUCAGCACAGAGCCCAACACAGGGCUCGAACCCACGGACCAUGACCUGAGCUGAAGUCAGACACUUAACUUACUGAGCCACCCAGCAUAGUUUAAAGAAGUCUGAUAAAUGGUAUGAGAAAGGAGUCCAGUGUUAGAGACCAAAGGGAUGCAGCCAGAAGAAAAAAAAAAAAAGGUGGGCUCUAGAGCAUCAACUAUGUAACUCAGUCACAGCACCGGAUAAUUCAUUGAUGACUGCACCUCUCUUGGGGAAAGUAUUUUCAAUGAUAUCCUUUGAAAGAGACAAGAAAUCCUUACAGAACGAGGACAAACCUGGAUUGAAAUUCCAACUUGGUUAUUUGCUACAAAUGUACUGUGAUUCUCAAUUUCUUUAUAAUAAAAUGAUGAGUGUAUCAACUAUCUAGUUGGAUUGUUGAAAGUAUCAAAAAUAAUGCAAGAAAAAUGCUUGCCACAUGGUAGGUGAAUGGUAGCCAACAUCAUUGGUCUUACU